UACGUAGGGCGCAAGCGUUGUCCGGAAUUAUUGGGCGUAAAGAGCUCGUAGGCGGCUUGUCGCGUCGGUUGUGAAAGCCCGGGGCUUAACCCCGGGUCUGCAGUCGAUACGGGCAGGCUAGAGUUCGGUAGGGGAGAUCGGAAUUCCUGGUGUAGCGGUGAAAUGCGCAGAUAUCAGGAGGAACACCGGUGGCGAAGGCGGGUCUCUGGGCAGUAACUGACGCUGAGGAGCGAAAGCGUGGGGAGCGAACAGG
rnacentral:rRNA from 1 species